GCUACGGAAGAUAGUAUAGUCAUUCCUGAGAAAAUUAAAUAGAAUUACUCUGUGAUCCAGCAGUCCCACCUCUGGGUUUGGGAUUCAAUACCCAAAGGUAUUGAAAGCACAAUCGCAAAGAGGUAUUUGUCCUCUCACGUUCAUAGCCGUGUUCUUCACAACAGCCGAAAGGUGGAAGCAACCCAAGUGUUCACCAGUGAAGAAUGGAUGAACCAAAUGUGGUCCAUACACACGGUGGACUAUUAGCCUUAAAAAGGAAGGAGAUUCUGACGCAUGCUACCACGUGGAUGAACCUGGGGACAUUGUGCUGAGUGAAUACACCAGUCACCAAAGAUUGCAUAUCAAGCCCAGGAGGAAAGAGGAACCCUCAGCCUGUCCUGCCUUCCCCAGCAAAAGCAAGUUCACGGUGACCGUGUGAUCCUCUUGGUGUGGAGAGGCUGCCACCCGGGUCUAAGCAGUGCAGCGUCCUCAGGGUGACAGCCGAGGCCCAGGGCUCCAGCACUCUCCUGGUGAGCUACAAACAGGGCCACGUCCACCUGCGUGCCAGGAUCACCAUCGGGGCCUACCUGCCCCUCAAGCUGAAAGCAGGAACUGAUGCAGAAGGAGCAGAGCCUCCCCCCCGGGGACAGUGGUUGCUGACAUCCGUGUGAUCACAUGAGGCAGCGCUUGGCAGGCUUGGCAGGGUGCUGACCUGCCAGGCUCUCCUGACGAAGGCAGGACUGUGGGCUUCAAAGGCUUCGAAAUGUU